UACGUAGGGUGCAAGCGUUAUCCGGAAUUAUUGGGCGUAAAGAGCUCGUAGGCGGUUUGUCGCGUCUGCUGUGAAAACUGGAGGCUCAACCUCCAGCCUGCAGUGGGUACGGGCAAACUAGAGUGCGGUAGGGGAGAUUGGAAUUCCUGGUGUAGCGGUGGAAUGCGCAGAUAUCAGGAGGAACACCGAUGGCGAAGGCAGAUCUCUGGGCCGUAACUGACGCUGAGGAGCGAAGGCAUGGGGAGCGAACAGG
rnacentral:rRNA from 1 species